GCGCGGGUGGCGGAACUGGCAGACGCGCAAGAUUCAGGAUCUUGUGGGGAAACCCGUGCGGGUUCAAAUCCCGCCCCGCGCA
rnacentral:tRNA from 1 species